CCUACGCGCGGCAGCAGUGAGGAAUAUUGGUCAAUGGCCGUAAGGCUGAACCAGCCAAGUAGCGUGAGGGAAGACUGCCCUAUGGGUUGUAAACCUCUUUUAUGCGGGGAUAAAGGUGUCCACGUGUGGAUGUUUGCAGGUAACGCAUGAAUAAGGACCGGCUAAUUCCGGGCCAGCAGCCGCGGUAAUACGGAAGGUCCGGGCGUUAACCGGAUUUAUUGGGUUUAAAGGGGACGUAGGCCGGUCUUUAAGCGGGCCGUGAAAUUUUGUGGGUCAACCCUGAGAGUGCCGCUGGAACUGGAGACCUUGAGUGCGCGGAAGGCAGGCGGAAUUCGUGGUGUAGCGGUGAAAUGCUUAGAUAUCACGAAGAACCCCGAUUGCGAAGGCAGCCUGCCGCAGCGUUACUGACGCUGAAGCUCGAAAGCGCGGGUAUCGAACAGGAUUAGAUACCCUUGUAGUC
rnacentral:rRNA from 1 species